AAAUUGAAGAGUUUGAUCAUGGCUCAGAUUGAACGCUGGCGGCAGGCCUAACACAUGCAAGUCGAACGGUAGCACAAAGGAGCUUGCUCCUUGGGUGACGAGUGGCGGACGGGUGAGUAAUGUCUGGGAAACUGCCCGAUGGAGGGGGAUAACUACUGGAAACGGUAGCUAAUACCGCAUAACGUCGCAAGACCAAAGAGGGGGACCUUCGGGCCUCUUGCCAUCGGAUGUGCCCAGAUGGGAUUAGCUAGUAGGUGGGGUAACGGCUCACCUAGGCGACGAUCCCUAGCUGGUCUGAGAGGAUGACCAGCCACACUGGAACUGAGACACGGUCCAGACUCCUACGGGAGGCAGCAGUGGGGAAUAUUGCACAAUGGGCGCAAGCCUGAUGCAGCCAUGCCGCGUGUAUGAAGAAGGCCUUCGGGUUGUAAAGUACUUUCAGCGAGGAGGAAGGUGUUGUGGUUAA
rnacentral:rRNA from 1 species